rnacentral:rRNA from 1 species
UACGAAGGGGGCGAGCGUUGUUCGGAAUUACUGGGUGUAAAGGGCGCGUAGGCGGCCGAUCAAGUCAGAUGUGAAAGUCCUGGGCCUAACCUGGGGACUGCAUUUGAUACUGAUUGGCUUGAAUUCGGGAGAGGAUAGCGGAAUUCCCAGUGUAGAGGUGAAAUUCGUAGAUAUUGGGAAGAACACCGGUGGCGAAGGCGGCUAUCUGGACCGACAUUGACGCUGAUGCGCGAAAGCGUGGGGAGCAAACAGG